rnacentral:rRNA from 1 species
GACAGAGGGUGCAAACGUUUGUUCGGAAUUACUGGGCGUAAAGCGCAUGUAGGCGGUUCGUAAAGUCAGGUGUGAAAGCCCUGGGCUUAACCCAGGAAGUGCAUUUGAAACUCACGAACUUGAGUCCCGGAGAGGAAGGCGGAAUUCUCGGUGUAGAGGUGAAAUUCGUAGAUAUCGAGAGGAACAUCGGUGGCGAAGGCGGCCUUCUGGACGGUGACUGACGCUGAGGCGCGAAAGCUAGGGGAGCAAACGGG